GGGCCAUCGUACUCGCAUAUAUUUAUCUGAGCAUUUAAGGUUGGGUUACGUUUGUAAAACAUGCAGUCAGUAUCCGCCCCUGACUGCCGGAGGAUGUGCUUUGGUGUCCGGAUAUGCCGGCACAAAACCGUGUUUAUUCUGGAGCCAAAGUUUGAAGCGAUUUGUCAGAAAAGAAGUGCUAUCAUUCGUGCAUCGCCAGUGCCUAUUGCGAGACAAGGUUCCCGCUGCGUUUUACGUGAAAAUUUGUUUUUGUUGCGAAAUUUGAACGAAACACUCGUGACAGAUGUGUGUACAGUAACGAAUCCCGGAUCACUUCUUCCGCCUCGUCACUCUAGUUGACCGCCACACUCGGGGAAACAAAGGUGCCGCUUUGGUCUGGCGCCUCACCACUCGUGAUGGGGAAAAUCAACAAAGGCGUUCGCCCUGUCAACGCAGUCGGUCCUACACUUCGUUUGGUUGGACAAGACGACGUAGGAAAAGAGUCGCUGGGCAAAACGGCAAG